rnacentral:lncRNA from 1 species
GGAAGGUCAAUAUUUCAUCUCCACUAUCUGAUGUCAAUUUCUAGAAUGCAGAUAUAUGGUACUUUUCUUCCCCUUUCUUUCCAUGAUUAAUGUCCCUGUUUCAUUUCUGUUUUAUCAUUGAUUUUUAAUUUUUAAUCAGAAAAAAAACUUUUAAUAUGGUCUGAGAUGAUGAAUAAUUGAUGAUUAGCUAGCUUUUAGAUAUUUAUUAACUUUCUUUUUUGUAUCUAUUUGGUGAUUUAUUGUUCCAUUUUUCGUUUUUGUCUUGGAUUUCUUCUGGAGUUCGGAGGAAAAAUGGCCACUUGUGAAAAACAAUUGGUGAGUGAAAAUGUAAGUUUGCUGCAUCAAUCUGAUUUAAUUUUUCCCUCUUCCACGCCUGGUUUAGGAUUUGAUGGAUGAUUUUUUUUCCUUUUUUUUUUGUUCUUUUGGUGCUACUUUUCCAAGUAUAUUAGUGGUUGUUGUUACAGGAAGGAAUAUGAAAACUUGAAGUUGACAUCUCUAAGAAGUAGUUAAAGCUGGUAAUAUUUAUUUGUGUUCUACUAUUUAUACUAUAAACCAUAGUUUUUUUUCUAUAAAUGGUUUCUCUCACCUAAUUUAGCCUAUUUUUGUUUAUUGAGGUUGUUGUCAGAGAAAGGAUAAAGGUAAAAGUGAUUGGAAGAAUGAGCAAAUUUCUUCCAGUGUUUUGUGUUUUGGAUUUUAUUGUGUUUGUCAAAGUAAAUUAGAUACAAGUAUCUUUUUCUUCUGUAUCUUCUUUUUUUUCCCUUGGCUGGGAAACAUAAUGAAUCUGUUAUAUAAACUACUUGGUAUUCUUCGUAAUGUCAAGAUUUGGGAAGCUGUAUGAUGAAAUCUUUAUUUCAUAGUCGAUUUUUCUGGUUUUGUGGUUUUAACGUGCAAAAUGAAAUCAUUAAUAUGACUAACUUCCUUGAAGAUGUUUUGAUCAGUUCAUGAUUCAUGAGAUACAUAGUUAUACGAAUUACAUAAAUGGAGUUUCAAAAGCAAAAUCCAUUUAAUCUACUAUGAAGAUACCAUCUUUCCUCUUUUAAAUUACUAAAAAAACUUGGCUCGAUCUUUGACUGGAAAAAUUAUGUUCAGAAAAUAGUAUUCCUGUGCGUCAUACAAUUGACAUUUGAUGUUGGACCCAAUAUUGCAUUUUUUUUUUUAAAAAAAAGAAAAAUUAGAAAAUAAUGCAUAGGAACUUCUCUAGAAUUUGCUUCCACGUAUAUGUACAAUGUUUUGUUCCCUUUGGGGAAAUUUCAUCAGUGACAUUAUUUUUAUUGAUUAAUUUCUGUUGGUAAAACUAGCUUUUAUACUCUCUCAAUAGAUUUCUUCUCUUGUUUCUGUUAUCGCCAUUUUUUUUUUGUGGAUUCUUCUUUCUUCUAAGCAACUUUAAAGGUUCUUUUCUUUAUAUGAAUAUGUUAUUAUUGGGGUACAUCUAAUCCUAAUCCUACUUCUGUAGCAGGAAAUGACCAUACAUUGGGUUUUGUUACUGGUGCAAAUGCAACUUAGCACCAAAGAGUGUGAGAGUCUGGGAUUAACUGAUCUGGCUCUCUGCUUAGACUGCAACACCUUUGCUGAGUAUGUCAAGGACCAAGGUUGUACCUUUAUUAUAUGAAUUUUGUUGAUCCUCAGAUAUUUAUGGUUUUUGGUGGAUUUUACUUCUGGGGUUUUGAUGGGUUUUUUGAAUUGAUUACUUGCUGGUAAGUACAUGGGUUGUAAAAUGGUAAUAUUUGGGAUUCUUGUUUCUGUACUAUAGCUGAUUGGUUGUCAAAAUUAACGAAUAGUGGGAGA